rnacentral:rRNA from 1 species
UGGUGGAGCGAUUUGUCUGGUUAAUUCCGAUAACGAACGAGACUCUAGCCUGCUAACUAGUUCGGGGGAUCCUCUUUCGAGUCCUCGCCAACUUCUUAGAGGGACAAGUGGCGCUUAGCCACACGAGAUUGAGCAAUAACA